rnacentral:sRNA from 1 species
GGAUGUGAGGAUGAUCUGGCUGUGACAUCUGCCACCUUAGUGAUUGCCAGGGUUGAUUUGGCCGAUAUAGCUGGCGAGGCAGCUGUCUCCUUCCUCUUUCCUGCUUCC